rnacentral:lncRNA from 1 species
AUUCUAAGACCAAUAGGGGAGGUAGCCCUGUAUCAAAGUAUAUAACAGCGGAGGCAAGAGGGUUGGGAGUUCAAGCCCAACCUGGGCAACAUAGUGAGACCUUGUCUUCAAAAAAGAAGUAUGUGAUAUUUAGGUAACAGUUGGCACAGGGAACAGGGAUGGGAGGCCCAGGCACGGUGUGAUCAGAUCCACUUGGAGAAUUGAAAGAUGAUGACCUGAGCUGAGGGUUCAGGAAGCUCGGCUGGCAUUGGCCAGCUUGAGUUGUUGGGGGCGAUGUUCUGGGCAAGGGAACAGCUUGAACAAAGGCCUAGAGGUGUGGACAACUUGGCUUAGUCCAGAAGCCACAGCCCCAGCACUUAAAGGCCU